CGGUGGCUGUGUACGUGUGCGGGCCUCCUUCCUUCUCUGGGCUGCGUGUGGCCUCUCAUGGACGUGUGCUGGGCUGCGUCAGUGUUCACGCUGCCGCCUUGCGUUGAGAGAGCGGUGCCGCUUCGAUGGUCUCCUGUAGAGACUUCUGGUGUUUUUGGAUCGGUGCCGCUAUGUCGCUGCUAGACUUUACGUCCAUGGAGCUCGAUCGGCAGCGUUGGUGGCCCGUUCUGCAACGUCGGCCUCCCCGAGGUCCUGCUGGUGGCCUGAACGCUCGCCAUCGCUGCUCCGGUUCCUCCUGUCGGUGUGAUUUAGGAACAAAUCGGCGGGCGUUCCUUUUUUGCAGGGUCUCCGUCCACGCGCGGCGGCGUGGUAGCUAGAGAGAGGAGCGGCGACGAAGAGGAGCUGUGUGUCCGACCUAGAUUCUUCAUUAAUCUGUGUUGUUGGUCGAUUUGUUUUCGCUGUGAAUCUGUGAUUAGUUGUGAGAUUUGGUUCUGGUUUUCUUGGUCUGCAGGUAUGCAAGAGUCGCGACGUGUAGAGGUCCAUCAGUGAUUCUAAGUGCGGCGACCGAGACAGACGAGUCAUCCUCACUGAAACCGACCGAACUCUGUUUAAUUGGCCAUUGUUUCCUACUAUGCAGGGUGAUCUUGACCUAAUUUGGCUUUUGACCUGAAUAUUGUGGUUGAUUCCACACAGCAACCGCAGCAACAACGAUGCGAGUGCGAGGUACUACACCCUGUUGUAACUCAUGUUGGCGUUGAGGAAGAAGAGGGUGAAAUCUGAUGGCCGAGUGCCGCCGCUGGAGGUGCCUGAACGACCGUCUCUCCAUGGUCCACUCAGUGGUGUCCAAGAUCGGCAAGGUAAAGACAAAUCGUUAAUCCAUCUUGGAAGAAUGAGGGGCAGAAUCUUGGGAGUAAAUCUGAAUGUGUGUAUGUGUGUUCUUGAUUUUGGCCGGGCAUUUAAUUGGACAUUACGUCAAUCCUGGGGACACGAUCGACUAGAUGAAGAAGCUGCUGGAGAGGAUCUGGCGACUGCAGGAGCUGAGCCGGACAUGUCGCUGGGUAGUCGACGGUGAUGGGGUGGUCAGCGGAGGCCGCGUGCUUUACACAUGCCCAAUUCUCUCUUCUGGUCUAGCUCCUCACCGUCGCCCGGCUGGCCGUCAAUUCUUAGUUUUGUGCCGUAUGGUGGUUGCUCUCUGAUUGGUUCAUCAUGUGCUGAUUCCUCUUCUUGUAUGAACGAUUUCCUCAAUUUUAAUUCUGGUUGGUAUGCUUUUGAUCCUUUGUGGAGAUCUCUGUUUCUAUUUGUCGGUUUUUGCUCUCUUUGCCUGAUUAGGAUCGUAAUUAAGUUCGUCGGUGGCCGCUGUAAAAUUGUGGUAGGACGCUGUUGAUUUUGUGGUGGUAUAAGCAUGUUUUGUCUUCUGGAUUUUUUUUUGCAUCCAAUUUCUGAUUUGUGCUUUUUGCAGGCAGGCUGUUUUUCGAUUUGGUCCGUUGUGCCGAACACUGUCGGUCUGGUGGUUAUUCUACAUGCAAAGCUGAAUAUACACCCCACCUGAACUAUCUCCAUUGGACAGAAAAAAUUCAUCAUAAUCACUACAUCAACUGCUAAUUCUCUUCAUGGGAUCACCACUUCUAUCAAGUGGAAUCUACCGAGCCGUUGCUUUAGAUGGAGGCAGAAGCUAUUACUACCAAACCUUGAAAAGCCAUUGGAAACAACCCCACAACCUUCUCCGACAGUAGUAGAGGUAAUUUAUAGCCUUAGUAAUCCUCAGAUUAAUCAAGCAGAUUAUCAGAUUACUAGAGGAUGGAAACAAUACAGCGGGAAUCAAGAAGAGAGAAGUCAAAUGUCAGCGGGAAAAUCAAAAAGAGGUUUGUCAGAUACUAUUUUUUUCCGUAUACAACAAAUACAUCUUAUUUGAUACUUCAAUGUAGUAUUGUUGUUUUUGCUUUUUUAUCGGUUAUUAAGUAGCCAGGGAGCUGUGUACGCAUGAAGGUUCAAAACGGACUAAGCUAUGUGCUAACAGCAAGGAAGGACCAGCUUAGUUCUACACUAUAGCUUGAGUGCUUUGUGUGCAGAACUAAAGCUGUGUACUGUAAGAAGACAAACUUACCACUCUAUUUGGAUUUAUCCAGUUCUCUUGACCUGUUGUAUAAUAUAACCAAGUUUACAUAGAUGCAACUGGGACAUAGUUGAAAUUGUGUACUGUAAUAGUAUGAUAUACUUGGUGCUCUACUUAAAUGUACGCAGUGCUCUCCGUCUGUAAUGUAAUGUAUAACUAAGCGUACACACACAUGAUGACAUGUCCAGCGUUCUAGCUUUUUCGCUUACUAAAAAGCUGAUAAAAGUAUCUUUUUCUACA